GUGGAUUAGAUACCCUAGUAGUCCACGCUGUAAACGAUGUGAACUAGAUGUAGGGGGUGUUGAUCCCCUCUGUGUCGCAGCUAACGCAUUAAGUUCACCGCCUGGGGAGUACGGUCGCAAGAUUAAAACUCAAAGGAAUUGACGGGGGCCCGCACAAGCGGUGGAGUAUGUGGUUUAAUUCGAUGCAACGCGAAGAACCUUACCUGGUCUUGACAUCCCGGAAAUCCCUUGGAAACUUGGGAGUGCUUCCAUUAGGAAGAAUCCGGAGACAGGUGCUGCACGGCUGUCGCCAGCU
rnacentral:rRNA from 1 species